rnacentral:lncRNA from 1 species
CGCGACCGCCCCACGGGGCCAGCAGCCGGGGCCGCGCCGUUUCCGACCCGCCGGGUGCCGGGCACGCCACGGACACGCGCGGCUCCCCGUUUUCGCGGAGGAUUCCCAGGCCGGGUCAGGAGGACGCUCCACGAGCCCGUGGGUCCCGGUGGUCCCAGCCAUUGGGGCGGCUCCCGUGACUGUCGAGCAGCGCCCACCCCGGGCAGCAUGGGGCUCCCGCGACGCGCUCCGUCCCUUCCCCACCAGGGGCUCUGCCGGUGUCGGCCAUGGGCGCGGGUACACACCAGGCGCCUAAUGAGUGCUGAGGCGGACGAGGGUCCCGGCAGGCGGGGUUACCCCGGCCAGGCCUGACUGGCGCCCUGUCUGCGCUGUGUCCUGGGACCCCGGUCACCGGGCAGGGUGGGACACCGAGGCCUCGCGGCCAAGCGACUCGCCGCGGUCGCCGGGCUGCGAACGGUGGAGCCGCCGGGACUCGGACCAGGACGCGAGCUCCAGAGCAGGGGAUGACAGGCCUGAGCCGCAGGGGCCGGGAGGAAGGCCGCGCUGCUGUCCUGGGGCUGGGCAGCCUCCGCAUUCACAGCGCAGACCGCUCUAGCCUUAGGCCUGGAGGGGACACCAGGAGAUGAGGCUUCUGGCUCAGCCUGCUCUCUGCAGCCACAGGCAAAGGCCAGGAAGGCCGGGGUGCGGGAGCUGGCAUAGGAGCUGGCUCCAGCUCAGGCUAACGGCAGAAGGAGCUGUAAACACAUCCUAAGCUCUCAUCGGCAGGCUCGUGGCUCACGGUGGUUUGGGUCAUAUUUUUCUGUGUCUUUGGACGUCCAGUGACUUUUGGGCAGGACGUUGUUGACGACGGCAGCCCUGCAUCUACUGUCACCCUCUAAACAGCACUGACUUUUGUUCUGGGAUGAAUUCUGCCCUCCCAAAAUUCCUGCGUUGAAGCCCCAGAUCCCAUGGUCACUGUUUCAGGAGAUGGGACUCUUAGGAGGCAAUCGAGAUUAAGUGAGGUCAAAGGGAGUGGCCCUAAUUUAACAGGCUGAUGUCCUUAUUAGGAGAAAAAGAGGCACCCAGAGAGCGCUCCCUGCCAGGUGAGGACACAGCAAGGGGCUGCCUUCUGCGAAGGGGCAGGAAGCCCUCACCAGAAACUGCACUUUCCGGCACCUUAAUCUUGGACUUCCACCCUCCAGAACGGUGAGGAAAUACAGUUCUGUUGUUUAAGAUGCCCAGUCUGGGGUAUUUUGUCACGGGAGCCUGAGCUGACAGCGAGAGUGACAGCCCCUCCAGCAGGAAAUCCAAGUCCAGG